rnacentral:rRNA from 1 species
GACGAACGCUGGCGGCGUGCCUAACACAUGCAAGUCGAACGGUUCUUUCCUGCUUACUGCUGGCACUCAAGUGGAAAGAGGGGUGGAGGACGGGGGAGCAACCCGGGGGUAACCUAUCAAGCACAGGGGGAUACGAUAAGAAAACAGGCGCUAAUACCGCGUAACAGGUUAUGCCGCGUGGCAUACGAGUGAAGGGGGCUCUCGGUCGUAUUAGCUAGUUGGAGGGGUAACGCAUUACCAAGGCGGCGAUGCGUAGGUGGCCUGAGAGGAUGAUCGGUCACACUGGAACUGAGACACGGCCCAGACUCCUACGGGAGGCAGCAGUGGGGAAUCUUCGGCAAUGGGCGAAAGUCUGACCCAGCAACGCCGCGUGUGUGAAGAAGGUUUUCGGAUCGUAAAGCUCUGUUGUUAGGGAGGAACAGGGGUGUGAGUAACUGAACGUCCCUUGACGGUAUCUACCCAGAAAGCACCGGCUAACUACGUG